UACAGAGGUCUCAAGCGUUGCUCGGAAUUAUUGGGCGUAAAGGGUAGGUAGGUGGUCUCAUUUGUCUGGGGUGAAAGCCUUGAGCUUAACUCAAGAAGUGCCCCAGAAACGGUGAGACUGGAGUCCUGGAGAGGGUCGUGGAAUUCCCGGUGUAGCGGUGAAAUGCGUAGAGAUCGGGAGGAACACCAGAGGCGAAAGCGGCGACCUGGACAGGCACUGACACUCAACUACGAAAGCGUGGGGAGCAAACAGG
rnacentral:rRNA from 1 species